GUUAUGACUAUUACAUCUCAACCUCAAUAAGUUAUACUAAUACUAAUUCAUUCCUUAGUACUUUAAUUCAUUUCUUCCGUGUCUAUUUGUUAAAUUUUCACUUUUCAUUUUAUUGAUAAUAGCAUAUAUAUUUAUCAAUAAGUUGUAUUUAUAGACAAAUUAUGAAAAAACAAAUAUGUCAAAAAGACGUCGAAUGAUAAAAAUAUCUCUUAGUAAUUAUCGAUCAUCUGACAUAUGACAAUAAAAUACACGAUAUGGUUUCCUUUUUUUCAUUUUUUUUCUCUUUGGUUUCGUUUCUUUUUUUAGGAUGUUGCUUCCUCCACCAUCCCAAAUGAUUCCUCCACCUCUUUACUAUUUAUUUUAUUUCAAAAAUACCCUUCACUUUCUUUCUAUUUUUUUUUUAUUUCAAAAAUCUCCUACACUUCCUCACCUCUUCACUGUCUGUCUUAUUGCAACGAGGUUCCCCGAACAGAUUGUCCUAUUCCUCUCACACAGAACCCAUCAACGAGUACCACUCUCUCUCCACCUCUUUCCCAUUUUCCUGGGUCGUCGUCGACGCCAUCGAGUACACUUCCCGCCUCCUUGUCACCGGGACCUCCAUCGCUCUCCUCAUUGGCCUCCUCGUCGUGUAAUAGAAUUGGGAACAUGAACACGAAGGAAAUAUGUCCACCAAAUAGUAAAUGAAACAAAAUCCAAUAUCAACCCAUACCUGCUCCACAAAUUCUCAUCUUCAACUCUUCAAUAAAUUACUCAAAUCAAUCUCCAAACAAUAACAAUAAGAAUAAUAAAGAUAACUUUUUUAACACUAAAAAGAAAAAUUGAAUAGAAAUUAAAAGAGCCCACAAUCCAUUUUUUUUUUCUUAAAGAUUAAAGGGAAGAGGGUAAUGAAAGAGAUAAUUUUGAAAAAAUAAGAGAGAACAAGUAACUGAAGAAUGGAAAACAAAAGGAAAAACAUAAAAAAAGAAAAAAAAUGUACUCAAUUGAGAGUAGAAGAGAGAGGAAUUGAAGGGUGGUUGAUGAUUGAGAAAGAAGAUGAGGAUUUUAUCACUGCAAAAAGAGCGAGUCUUGAUGUUGAACUACUAUGGUUUCUCUCUGUAUAUUGGCAUCCAUGAUAAAAAGACUUAAAAACCCCUCCUC
rnacentral:lncRNA from 1 species